rnacentral:rRNA from 1 species
UACGAAGGGGGCUAGCGUUGCUCGGAAUGACUGGGCGUAAAGGGCGCGUAGGCGGCUUGUAGAGUCGGGUGUGAAAUUCCUGGGCUUAACCUGGGGGCUGCAUUCGAUACGUAUGGGCUCGAGCACUGUAGGGGCAGAUGGAAUUCCGGGUGUAGCGGUGGAAUGCGUAGAGAUCCGGAAGAACACCGGUGGCGAAGGCGGUCUGCUGGGCAGUUGCUGACACUGAGGCGCGACAGCGUGGGGAGCAAACAGG